rnacentral:rRNA from 1 species
CGCUUGUUUAUCAAAAACAUGUUUUUUUGAUUAAAUAAAAAGUCUAGCCUGCCCGGUGAAUUUUUAACGGCCGCAGUAUACUGACUGUGCAAAGGUAGCAUAAUCUAUUGUCUUUUAAUUAAAGGCUUGUAUGAAUGGUUGAAUGAGAUAUUAACUAUUUUUAUUUUAAUAAAAAUGAAUUUUAAUUUUUAGUAAAAAUGCUAAAAUAAAAAAAUUAGACGAGAAGACCCUAUAAAUCUUAAUUUUAUUUUUUAUAAUAUUAAUUUUGAAAAUUUUUAAUAAAUUAUAAAAAUAAAAUUUUAUUGGGAGGAUAAUGAAAUUUAAUAAACUUUUAUUUUUUUUUAUAAAUAUAAUUAAAUUAUUGAAUAUAUAAUUAUAAAAUAUUUAAAAAAUUAAGUUACUUUAGGGAUAACAGCGUAAUUAUUUUAAAGAGUUCUUAUCGAUAAAAUAGUUUGCGACCUCCAUGUUGAAUUAAGAAUUAAUUUAGGUGUAGAAGUUUAAAUUUUAAGUCUGUUCGACUUUUGAAUCCUUACAUGAUCUGAGUUCAGACCGG